UGUAACUAACCUACCUAUNACUGGGGGAUAGCCCGCCGAAAGGCGGAUUAAUACCGCAUAAGCUGUUUGAGUGGCAUCACUCGCUUAGUAAAGAUUUAUUGGUUAUAGAUGGGGUUGCGGGUCAUUAGCUAGUUGGUAAGGUAACGGCUUACCAAGGCGACGAUGACUAGGGGAGCUGAGAGGCUGGUCCCCCACACGGGCACUGAGAUACGGGCCCGACUCCUACGGGAGGCAGCAGUAGGGAAUAUUGGGCAAUGGGCGAGAGCCUGACCCAGCCAUGCCGCGUGCAGGAAGAAGGCUUUCUGAGUCGUAAACUGC
rnacentral:rRNA from 1 species